UCUUUUGUUUUAUAUAUAAGAUCAGGCCUGCCCAUUGAUUUAAUAAUUAAAAGGCUGCGGUAUUUUAACUGUACGAAGGUAGCAUAAUCAUUUGUCUUUUAAUUGAAGGCUGGAAUGAAUGGUUCGAUGAAAAAUAGUCUUUCUUUUUUUGAUUUAUUUGAAUUUAAUUUUUUAGUUAAAAAGCUAAAAUUUUUUUAUAGGACGAGAAGACCCUAUAGAAGUUUACUAUUUUAAUAAAUUUUGAUUUUAUGGUUUUAAAAUUAAUUUUUAUUAAGUUAGUUUUGUUGGGGUGACAUUAAAAUUUAUUAAACUUUUGAUUUUUUCUUCAUUAAUUAUUGUUUUUUUUGAUCCAGAAUUUUUGAUUAUAAGUUUAACUUACCUUAGGGAUAACAGCGUAAUUUUUUCGGAGAGAUCAUAUU
rnacentral:rRNA from 1 species